rnacentral:rRNA from 1 species
GACGAACCGUGCGAACGUUGUUCGGAAUCACUGGGCUUAAAGGGCGCGUAGGCGGCUACCGCAAGUCGACUGUGAAAUCUCCGGGCUUAACCCGGAAAGGUCAGCCGAUACUGCGGGGCUAGAGUGCAGAAGGGGCAACUGGAAUUCUCGGUGUAGCGGUGAAAUGCGUAGAUAUCUGGAGGAACACCGGUGGCGAAGGCGGCAUUCUGGACCGAUAUUGACGCUGAGGAGCGAAAGCCAGGGGAGCAAACGGG